AUUUCAGGAUAUAUAUAACAUAGAACCAAGGGUCAGUAAGUUUGCAUCUGAAUUAGGCACUUGAUAGCAGGAGAUAUUAAUAAGUGCUUAGUAAGUGUGUAAUAUAGAUAAGAAUACUACUGAAUGAGGUAGGUUCUUCUGUGGAUAGCAGUGUCCCCGGGAUCAACAGAGUAAAGCGCCAUGCCCACGUACACUAGUUGAGGAGAUGCUGGUCAUUAGAAUUCCCAAGUCAUCAUUUAAAAAAAGGACAUACCUUCUUCCUUCUGUUCAUGCCAGUAGAGAUGCAUAGAAAUAAACAAAGCUAUUAUACCCUUGGUCUUAAAAUAACAAUAAUUCAAAAUGAUAUCAUACCUUUUAAUUUAAUCAAAUUGUAAGGUAUUAUGGAUCACAGAAUUCCUUGAACGAACAGAAUAAUAAGAUAUUGAUGGGACUCACACAAAGUGAUGGGUAUCUGCCCUGCUAAGAUUUGGUGUUUUUGGCAAAGUAGCCGCAAAAAAGCCUGGAAAUAUAGUUCAGUUCAGGCCCCUCAUAGAGUCUCUAGUGCCCACGUAGCCAUCCACAGGAAUUGAAGACAGGACCAGUUGCUUAAUGACGUAAUUCUGAAGGAUUCUUCAAGUUUGAGAAUUUUGAAAACAAAUGCAGACACGAAUAAGACAAUUGCUAUAUUAAUGUGUUGUUCGAAAUAUAUUCUUGAUUGUUUAAAGAGUUUGUACUGUUUAAACAAAUCUUGCCGUUGAGAGGAGCAUCUCUGCUUCCUGAUAACACAGAUGUAUCUCUGGGAGCCUCUUGAGUCACUUGCUGUCUAAAACAUCUGGCCAAUAAUACAGAACAGCACUCUGUUCACAUGAGUUAGUUUACAUUACACAUUUGAACAGAGAUUUUAAUACAUUGAACUAUUUUCUUGUCACUUUUUAAUCUAGAGAAAUGUAAUGUAUAAAUUUACAGACUGAGAUUAAAUUAUUUGAGUUUAAAACUAAUAAUUUCAAACAGGACAGAGUAUUAGUUGAAGUCCCUUUGAAUGUGAAAAAUUUAUAUUUUUCUAAUUUUGAACAUACAAGAUCAACUAUGUUCCAGUUGUAUAACCACACAUAUAAGAGAGUAUAGGGAGAACUAGUUGGUUUAUAAAAAAAAAAAAAAAAAACAACAAUGAGGACCCAAAGUUGUGUGAACAUGGAAUGGUGGUGGAUGUGGUAGGAGGUGGAGGUAAAGAUAUUCAUUCAACAUAUAAUCUAUGAAAAUGUCAAAGGACCUUUAAAACUGUCGUUUUAAAGAUAUUUGUAAAUAACUUUAAAUUAAAAGCUUGCAUGAAUAAAAACUAUAAGGUUUUUACCUCUGGUCUCUGAAAUUCAGAGCUUAUUGGGUAGAAAAUUUGCUAAGACAGGAGUAGAGGAGUAGAUUGUAGAAUUUAAUAAAUACUGAUGGUUAAUGUUUUAAAAAUCUGGAUAAUCUUUCUGUUAGCUGACAUCUCCAGGAAGAGUGGAAACCCUUCAUUCAUAAUAAUCUUGGGUUUUGUAUUCUAUUUAUCUCCUCUCCCAGAUAGCCAUUAAAAAGUGAGAUAGUGACUGCAGGUGGAGCCAAAAUAUGUUGUCUAAACCCUAUAGGAAUAUACCACAACAUGACUGCCUUGGUUUUGUUUCCACAGGAAACUGUCUGAAAUGGGGAAAGAGGCAGGUGGAGGCUUCUCCCAUAUGUAUAUGCAAUGCCUGCAGGGUAGGGCAUGAAGGAAAACAGAGAGGAAAAACUAGAAACGUCGAGGAUAAGAGAAUAACAGAAAGCCACAGUGUCCGCAAAGCAAAAUAAAAUUAAACCACCCACCCUGCACUUCAGUGGGGGGCACCCUGAACCUCACACCCCAUACUUCAUGUUGAACCUGAGGUGAGUUCAUCCGAGCAGAUUGUGGAGAGCUGUUCCUCAAACCUGCAGUGAAACUGGUCCUGGGAGGAAAGGCCAAUUCAGUUCACUUACGUUGCAAUGUUUUACACUAUUUCAAAGUAACCAGAAGAAAGAUUUAGAGUGUUCUGUUCACAAAACACGGCAUAUGGUGGAAGUGAUGUUACAAGUUAAACACCACAAGUUGAUAUCACAUGGAGGCCUGCCUGUGUCCAAAUAUCACGCUGUAUUCCACAAACAUGUGCCAGGUAAAACAGUUAGAGGGGCUGGAGAUCUGGCUUACAACUUAAGAGCACUGAGUGCUCUUGCAAAGGACCUGGAAUUGAUUCACAGCACUCACUUGGCAACUCACAACCAUCUUGGAAAUCAUCAGACACAUGGCAAAGAUUCAUAACUCCCAGAUGCAAUAAUUAAAAAGAAAUACAUUUUAAAAACAUGGAUGGAUAAGAGGAAAAGACAGCUGUUUGAGAACAGUAAGUACAGGGAGGUGACAAAGUGUGUCACCUGGCCAGACAGUAAGAUGGUGCCAAACAAGAGGCAAGAUGUCAUGGACCAAUGGGACAUGGGUGGAGGGUAUAAAGGCACUCCCCAAUUCAAUAAACAACUCUGUUUCCACUUCCAGCUGACUCCUGGCCUCUGUAUCAGUGAUUACUCACCUUCUUACCCUGCUACCCCAAAGACCAUCUCAAGGAGCAACAAUGAAGUGUUCCGUUGUUUCCUUCUUUGCCUUUUCUUUCAUCUGCCUUUGGCUUCAGACCUGCCUCUUCCUUUUUUGUCUCCUAAGCAACUAUAUGCUUGGUUCCUUUCUGUGCUUGCGUCCUUGUUGCCAAAUACCUUGGCCACUGUGGCAUCAUUCUACCUGACAUUCUUCAGUACUUUAACAUGGUUUAUCACCUAAGAGAUUUCUUUAGCCAAGCCAGUGGAGAACUCAAA
rnacentral:lncRNA from 1 species